AAACUCACAAAAACUCACGGGUGAUAGUAUUCAAUUUUCUUCAAUUAAUAUAUGGAGGCUCUGCGGCUCUGCCCCAACCCUUAAAUAGGGAGGCUCACGGGAAGCUCACAUGUGAUGGUAUUGUUACGUAGUAUUCUUUAAAGUCGAUGGCGGAGUAUUACGCAGAUAGGUUGCACAAGAAAAAGUUUCAAGGAGGGCAAAAGGGAAGGGAAAAAAUGGGCAGUUACACAAUUGAACUCCUACCCUAGCUGAUUAUGGAUUACACAUUAAUCCUCGCUCUAAACAUUGGGGCACUGAACAUUUAAUGAAAAGCUAUCGUGUUUAUAUUUUUUUAUCAUACGAUUAUGGAGUAGUUUUUUUCUUUUUUGUGUGUUUAAUAAUGGUCUGUACAUUGUUUUUCCAGGUUUUAGUAUGGGAUCAGCUAUGAAAGGUACAAACACGAAUCUCAUACACUUCAUGCCUCAAAAGGUGUACAAGGCCAGCAGUUAUUGUAAUAAAAGGAAAGUAGUGUAAGAGGCAGUUACGUAUAGAUCAUCAACUAUAUCAAUGCUUACAAUUCAUUAAUUUAAGUAAGAAAGGAUGAGUGUAAAAGAAGGAUUCUUGGGCUAUGAUUUACCAUUCCCUCAAUCACUGCAGAAUCACUUAAAUUGAUGAUUAGCUGCUUAAAGAUAUCUUUACUGCUUUGCAAUUCAUCAGAGUUAGUAGCUCCAACAAUUCUAGUGUCUUGGAUAUUGCUUGGUGAUACUGCAUGAUAGACUCGAGAUUGAGAUAACAUUCUUCUACCAUAUCUAAUGUCGUGAGAGACACUGAUAAUUUAUUUUUAUGCUGACUCAAACAAACAUGCAUGGCAUUUGGCAUUUAUAAUUUAUUUUUAUGCUAAUUACAAUUUAUUAUGGGUGAUGUAUCAACAAACCUUUCGACCAAGUUUUAUAAACCUACGGUGUAAUAUUUAGUGGUAGGCCAAUGAAAAUCUUUAACCUUUAAAAAGUGGGAGUGAAGCUACUGUAUCUUAUCUACAGUACAACGAAACGAUUCGUUUUACAAGUUACAGAGUACAAUACAUUUUAUUUUUUUCUCCCCCACUUCCCACUACACUCUUCUCUCUCCUCGAAUCCUCUCCAUCUAUGGAAGAGUGAUGCUUGAUCAUUUAUGGAUUGAAGCAACUACUAUUAUUUUCUCUUCCUUUUCAUAGAAUGAUUAAUGUUCUGCAAAGAUAUCUCACGAUGAAGCUAGUGGGGACUCUGGUGGUACUGGCGGAGCAUAUACGCAAGCUAUUAGAGAUGGUGCAGAUGUGAUUGACAGCCCAGUUCAAAUGUCAAAUGAUGGCGUACGUUUAUGUUUGAGCACCGUCAAUCUCUUGAAUAACACAGUAGCCACACAAUUCACGACUCUUAUGUCAACAGUUGAUGAUAAUGAUCACCCAACUCAUGGAUUAUUCACAUUUAGUUUGAACUGGACUGAUAUUCAAGGCUUAACUUGUAAGUGGGAUUUUCUACAAAUUGUUGCAUUUAUGUACUAUAUACAUCGUACUUGACUUUGAAUUAUUAGUGUUUGGAUGCUACAGGAUUAUGAUUAUAGCGAGCUCUAUCAGUGAUCUCUCUAUUCUCUUAGGAUAAAAUACUCUCCUUUGUAGUUCAAAAAAAAACUAACAAUGGCCUUAUUUUAAGUCGAAGUUGAGUAUAGCUUUAUGAAUAAUGCCAAUGCAUACAAAAAGUUCAUAUUUUUUUUAAUUAAGCACCCUAUUGUUGGCUUAAGUGGCAAACCCAACUUUUGAUUGUCAUUGUUGCUUUAUUUAGGAAUUUCAUUGCUACAUGUAAUGAAAAUAAUAUUAGAAUUUAGUGAUACUUUUGAAAAAUCUAGGAUCAAACCAAGAGAUUGUAGCAGUCAAUCAAUAUUCUUAAUGUUUUUAUGCAAGAUCUUGUUGUUUGUAUCAUACUACAUAGUCCAUUACUUUAGUGAACUACUGAGGCAAAUCACAGGACUAUAUGUUGCUAUUUCAAGCAUAAAUUUGAUUUGUCACAUACCCAUAGAACUUUAUUUUGCAUAUUACUUGUUUAUUGAGCUAUUAAAAAGUCACUGGUUUAGUAGAAAAAUGAUGCUUUCAAAGAUUGUGAUUUUAUCGUUUGUGGAGCGCUGACAUUGGACUUGAAUGCGGUUUUAAUUCCUAAUUUUAACAUUAAUGGUUCUGAUUGAGUAUAAAAAGGUUGUAAUUUGAGGUUAUCUGAUUGAAUGUGAGUCUUCUGUGAUGGGGUUAUUUAGGGUUCUAACUCCAAGUUAAUUUAAUUGAGUUUAAUUGGGGAAUUAGUAUUAUUAGCUUAUUGUUUGCUCUAUUAGCUCAUUGAUUAUAUAUUUUUUUUAAAUAAAAAACUACUGAUUAAUGCUGGAGUUGUUGCUUUUUACCAAAAUGAUGUAUAUAUUCUUUGCACAAACACCUAAAUGUGUUUUAUCUAGGGGAUAAUUAUUGUUAGUGCCUAUGAACUUAUAUAUACUUCUAUUUCAAGCAUUCUAAUGAAGACAUUAUUAUCCCAUUAUUGUACAUGACAACACUAAUGUCUUUAGUUGCUCGCAUGUAGUUGUGGUGAAUUUUGGCUUCCAAGGCCCGAAGGUGUUAAUAUAAUGCAUUCUCUUUUUUCUGUUUGAAAAUGUACCAACCGUAAAAGUGAGCAUUCUUUAUAGCACCAAUAGAAAAAUGUAAGAGGAUGUGAGGUAGGUUGUAGUAAAGACUGGAAAUCUAGAAAGACUACAAGAAAGAUCAAUCCUUCGCUGCUGCCUAAAGUAACAUACGAGAGAUCAUAGGUGUAUACAUUUUAAUGGCAUUGAUUCCUACUAUCCUUUUCUUGGUGUUAUAGGCCCUGUCUCGUGUACUACCACAUUUCAUAUUGUCACACUUGAGCAUUAGGUUGCCUUUUGUUAAUUGUCUAAGACAAAAUAAUGAUCAUUUCUUGCAUCCUGCACUGAUAAGAGUUUCUAUUUUGACAGUUUGGCUCUUAUCUCUUAUCACUUCAUUCUGGCCCUCUUUUUACAAGGUUGCACAUCCAAUAUUGUUUCUGCAUCCUCAUCUUAAAUAUUAGAGGUUAUUUACAGACACUAUUUUCAUGCGUCGAUAUACUCUUGUCAUUCCUUAAAGUUAAGACCUUAGUCCUUCCAGCAGCCGAGGAGGCAGGAACUAUCUGGACAGAUCGUUUUGGUUUCACGAAAAUGACAGUUGACCAGCUCGCUCGUUUGGUGGUGGUUUUUCAUUUGACACUUGAAUACUAACAACAUUCUCUGAUGUCUUUGUCUUUGAUCCUGGAAUCCCUUCGUGAUGAUCAUUUCAAGCAGAUUGGCCACAUUCUUUGCAACGGAUCCUUGAAUCCCUUUGCCAGGAACUAGUUCAUUUGGACAUGCCACUUUCUCUAUAACGGAUGUCUUUGAUCCUUGAAUCCCUUUGUCAGUAUCAUUAUUAGAGACCAAUGAUUGUUGAUUGGUUACUCCUACGCUAUUAUCAUUAGGGACUACUUCUAAAGGAUUGGUUCCCGUUCCCUUAUCAUUAUUAUGGACAAAUUCUUUCGAACUGGACACACUUUCUAGAACACCAUCGUUAAGGAUCGCUAAGUUUGGAUUGGAUACAUUUGCAUCAUUCAAUUCCUGCAAGCAUACACAUAAACAGGUAAAUAGGAGUUGACACAAUUGUCCAAAAAAUGUAUCCCAACCAAAAACGUCCAAAAAAUGUAACUCAAACACCCGAACACAUGAGAAGUUGAGUAAACAAUUACAAGCCAAUAUUUUUAGGGACGGAGGGGGUACCUAUCAACACUAAUGAGACAACCAAAGCUUAAAAAAUCGAAAUUACAAGUGGGUUAUCAAAUGCGUUCUUCUUUCAUUGAAAGUACCAAUUUUAAACAGAGAUCAAGUGAAACAGUAUAGUAAAAAAAUCGAAAUUCAAAGCUCAAUCCAUUACCUUAGGUACUUUUGUGGAUGUAGCGUCUUCUACAGUACUCAAGGGAUUCGUACCCGAUUGCAUUUCCGUGACCUCUAAAGUUGUUUCCCUAAUACACAGAACACCAAAAAAUUAAUUUACAAACCUAUCUUUUAAUUGAGUGAAUCCCUCGGAUGCAUCAGUGUAACUGUACAAAUUAAGUCCCAUCAACAUAUAAAUAUACGAAAUUAUCAGGUUGCUAAACUUAAUACAAGAUCAAAUACUACUUUUUCUUGAUUCAAAAUCAAAAAUUUGGGAACAAAAAUCAUAAUUCAGCCAUAAAAACACUAAAAGAAUGCAACAAAGUUUACCAAGGAACACAUGCAGAUGAUGGUAUGAACAAAAGGCGAGAUGGUUUAAAUUUUUCGAAAUUAUACAAAGUUAGAAAUGACAUUAUGAGAACUACAAAACACGAAUUCAAAUGAGCAUUCCACGAAAUUUACCUCUCUGAAGCCGACUCCAUGAGUUGCAGAGAAGUAGACCAGGGGAGAGGGAGGAGAAGGGAAGAAUAUGAACAGUUUAUUUUCUUUUGCGCCUAGAUAGACAAAAAGGGUAAGAAUAUGAGCAGUUGCUCAUUUAACUUUUUACGUUUUUUUUUGUUGAAUUUUACAAAUAAAUACUCGCUCCGUCCCGGAAUACAUGACCUAUUUACCUUAUCGGGCCGUCCCUUAAUACUUGACCUGUUUCUAAAAAUGGAAAUAUUCUAACAAUAUUAUAUUAUUUCUCACUCCACCCCUAUUAACCCACCUACCCCCUACUCCAUACAAAAAAUAAUAAAAAAUUCAACCCCUACUCUACCCCAACCCCACCUCUUAACCCACCUCCCACUAACUACAUUAAAAUAAUACCCCACUAUCAACCACUACCUAUUAAAUUAAAUAAGUCAAUUCAAGUCCCUUAAACUCUGUGCCGGUCAAACCGGGUCGAGUAUUCCGGGACGGAGGUAGUAUAUUUAAAGAUUGACUUGUCAAAUCAAAUGGACUAAUUAAUACUCCCUCCGUCCCGGAAUACUCGAAACGGUAUGACUUUUUUCACUAUUCACAUAAUUCACUUUGACCUUAUUUUAUUUCAAGUAUAUGAAAAAAAUUGUUAGUAUAUAAUAUAUUGUUGGCUUUAUCUUAAUUUAUAUUUUCAAAAUAUUAAUAUUUUAUAAGUUUUUAUAAUAUGUAGUUAAAGAUAUUGGUGGUCAAAGUUGUACAUUGGCAAGCGUGUUCAGUCAAAACGUUGCGAGUAUUCCGGGACGGAGGGAGUACCAACUACUGAAAAAUGAUCUUUGAUAAUUAUCCUUCCCUUCACCAAAACUUCUACGGAGUACAAUUUAUUAGAGUUCAAUGUUAUAUACUCCCUCCGUCCCUUAAUACUCACACCGCUUUUUUUCCGAGCCGUCCCUUAAUACUUGCACCGCUUCUACAAAUGGAAAUUUUUACCAAUAUUAUAUUAUUUCACACACUUACCUACUAACCCACUUACACCCCUACUUAGACCUGCCAAAUAGGUCGGUCGGGUCGGGUUGUAAAAAAUUAUUUUCGGGUUCGGGUUGAAUCGGGUCGGUCACUUUCGGGUUCGGGUUUACAAAUGCUUGUUUAUUAUGCUUAAAUUUUCUCAUAAUCUCAUUUAUUACUACAAAUACAAUGAUUUUCAAUCGGUCGGGUUCUAAACGGGUUCGGUCGGGUUUUGACCCAUUACUUUUCGGGUUGCUCGAGUUCGGAUAAAAUCGGGUUACGGGUCACAAAAUCUUGUUCAAGACCUAGUGUUUUCGGGUCGGGUUCGGGUCGAUUUUCGGGUCGGGUCGAUUUUUGACAGGUCUACUCCUACUCACUACAAAAAAUCAUUUAAAAAUUCACACCCCCACUCAACACUACCCAACCCUUACAUAUUUCCUACUAACCAUAUUAAAAAAAAUACCUCACUUUAACUAACACCCAUUAAAUUAAUAAGUCAAUUUAAGCAUCUUAAACUCCGCACCGGUCAAACCGGUGCGAGUAUUAGGGGACAGAGGGAGUACUCCGUAUAAAAUACCAAUGUGAUUAAGUAAAAGUUUUUAUGUAAGAACAAGUUGGGUUUGGUCCCCACCACUCAUAUAAGGAUAGAAAUAGCAUUCUUGUAACAUAUAAAAUAUAUUUGGGGAUCAUUACAUAUUAAAUUGUAUUAUUUAUAGUAAUUCUCGGAUCAUGGAUAACCAACAUACGAAGUACUUAAGUAAUGCAUCAAUUAAUAAUCAAAGAAGAAAACUUUUGAAAAAUGUUUUAGGGGUUUAUUAGGACGGUACCCGAUACUUCACUUGGGUCUGGAUGUGGUCUCGAGGCUAGACGACGUGCCUUGUUCAUGUCGUGGCUAGGCACUACACCCGUGUGCUUCAUAGUUCAAUUGAAAAAACCAAAGAUUGAAAAAAUGAUCCUUGAUAAUUACAUUUUCCUUCACCAAUACUGCUACAGUUUAUUAGAGACCAAUACCAUAUAUAAAGGAUAAAGGACUUGUAAAAUCAAAUCCUAUGUAAUCAUGACCACCUUUGAGUCUUUGACAUUGCUUUGAAAAACAUUUCCCAAUACAAACACAUAGAAAAAUGAUACGGAGUAUUAUUAAUUUUUUUUGAAACCCAAUACAUUUCCCAAUACAAACCCUCCUUAUUUGUUUUUUUUUAAUUCUUUUAAAACAGAAAAUAUAUUUAGGGGUUAUUACGUACUAAAUUGUAAGUAUUAACUCCCGUUUAAAAUUGUAAAAUAAAAAAUAACUAUGCAAUAAUUGGUUUAUACACCCGGGUGCACAGUGAGCACUGUGCACCCCAUGCAAAACGACGUAGGUUUAAACGUUUUUUUAUAUUUUAAUUAAGUUGAAAAAAAAAUUGCCCCUUUUUUUGUGGAAGAUCUGCCGGGUAAUUAGUUGGCCACUGCUUAGUUGGAUACAUUUUGGUAGAAGUUAAAAAAUAAAGGAAGCUACGGUUAUGAGGAGAGAAUCUUGUAUCCUAAAUUCUAGGAUAAUAUCCCACUUCAUUAAAAAUUAUUAUAGGAUUUAGUUUACGAUCUUGAACGUAUUAUUGAUUUCUUAGUUGAUAAUUUUAACCGGCUUUAAAAUAAAGUGUUAGAUUUUUAAAGAAAAUAUUGAACUUGCAGCAGUCGAAUAAAAAAAAAGUUGGUUUAACAUUAAUGGUGAAUUCAGAAUUUCGUGAUGAUACGGAUUGUCGAUUUCUCCAUUUUUUUGAAUCUACUCAAGAUGAUGGAACUCCAAUUGACGAAUUGGUUGUGGAAGGCAAAGGUAAUUGCGAAACUUCGAUUUUUUAAUGUUAUAAUUUAGGAUAAUGUGUAUUUUACGAGGUUGAAGAUAUAUUCUUUUCAUUAUGAUGCUUAUUAUUUAUGUUAUGAUAUUAAUCUACAUAUUUUCAAUGUUGGUAGUAUAGAUAUAGAUUACUAUUCAUAGAACAUGUUGUAUGGUUGUAAAGAACAUGUUGUAUGGUUGUACAGAACAUGUUGUAUGGUUGUAAAGAACAUGUUGUAUGGUUAUAAAGAACAUGUUGUAUGGUUGUACAGAACAGAUUGUGAUAGGUUUUCCUUGUGUAAAUAAAAGAACAUUUUAUUUGUGCGCGUUGAACAUUGUGACAGGGUUUAGAGUUUAGGGUUUUAAAUUAAUUGGGUAUAAGAUUUGCGGAAAGAACAUUCUAUUUGUGUAUUGAACAUUAUGUACGUAAAGACUGAACGAUUAUUGGUUUGAAUAUGUAAUCAGGUUUUGUUGAGCCUAAAAGUUCUGAUUUUCUUUUAAGGAAAGUGAAGUCUAUUGAAGAAGAUUAUAGUUUGUAUAAUGAUUAUUCGUUUAAACAUGGUUUUGGUACUCGGAAAGGGAAAACCAAAAAGAGGGCUGAUAAUGUUACAGUCAGGCAGAAGUUUUUCGUGUGUUCUUAUGAAGGUUUUAAGAAGAAAAAAGGAAUUGAACCCGAGGUAUAUCUAAAGAGAGAUUUUUGUAGUGGAUGCAAAGCUCAUGUUCAAUUUGAUGUGGAUAAAGAAACUGUUCUGUAUAUCCUGGUGAAGCAUAAUAUGGAGCACAAUCAUAGUAGAGUUCCUGUUUCGAAGAGGCAUUUAAUAAGGUCUCAUAGAAAGGUUAAGGAAGACCAACUUGUUAUGCUUAGUAAUUUUACGGAAUCUGGUAUUCCAAUCGCGCUUGCGGUACGGGUAAUGAGAAAUGAGGCCGGUGGUGAGGCUAAUCUUGGUUUUCUUGCAGAGGAUGCUUAUGUUGCUUUAUCUGGUCAGAAAAAAAAAUUAGACUUGAAGUUUGUGACACAAAACAACUUAUCAAGUGGUUUAAGGAGACAAAAGCCCAUGAAGUAGACUUUUACUAUGAUUUUGAUCUUAACGAUGAGGGCCAUCUUGUAUUGUUUUUCUUCCGGGAUAAUAGGAUGAGGAUUGACUAUGAUGCAUUUGGUGAUGUAUUGGUACACGAUACAACAUAUCGUACAAAUAAAUAUGAUAUGAUUUGUGGUCCAUUUGUUGGGAUGAACCACCACAAAAAAAAUGUUAUGUUUGGUAUUGGGUUCAUUUUGAAUGAGAAAUGGGAGUCUUUUCAAUGGUUGUUUAACACAUUUUUGAAGUCUAUGGGAGGGAAGCAUCCGGUUACUAUAAUGACAGAUCAGUCUGCAGCUAUGGCAAAAGCAAUAAGGAAAGUGGUUCCGGACAGUAGACAUCGAUUAUGCACUUGGCAUAUAGGUGAAAAUUCCAAUAAGCAUCUUAAAGCUUUUAAAGCAAUAGAAGGAUUCAAUAAGUUAUUCGAUACUGUUUUGAAGUAUACUGAUACCAUCGCUGAAUUUCAACAUUAUUGGGAAAGUAUGGUGGAGAAGUAUGAUUGUGCAAAGAGCAAAUGGCUUCAAAAUUUGUACGUGAUAAGAGAAUUAUGGUGUCCGGCGUAUUCCAAAGAUUGUUUUAGUGGUGGUAUUCUAUCUUCACAAAGAAGCGAAACAACGAAUAGGUAAGUAUCUAGAAGACUUCAUAAAACUCAUGGCCUAUGUGACUUCUACAAGUGUUUCAUCGAGGUGGUUGAUGAGUGGAGGAGUAAAGAAAACAAAAAUGAUUAUGAUGGUAUAACCGUUUGAGCAUAUGCAACAAGUUGAAAGGGCAAAAGCUUAAGUCCUGGAAGAAAAAAACAGCAAAAGGUGUGGUUAAAAUGAAAGCCAAAGCACAUGAAGCAGUAAAGGACUACUUUGAAGUACCUGAAGGCAGCACCUUGGCACAUCCAUCUGAAUCUCAAGGAUCUUUGGAAGUUUAUGAAGCUGAUGAUUAUUUUGGAGUUAAUGUUACACCUUUGGAAAUUAGUUUCUUGUAAUCUUGUGGGUUGUAUACUUUUAAGAGUUUAUUGCACUUUACUAAAUUAAUUUAGUCAAAUACGUAGUUGAUUACUAAAUUAUAGUUGAUUAACAUAGACCUUUAUUGAGUAUAGAUGAGGUGACUUAAUGUUAAUGUUCAAUUUCCAAGUUUA